rnacentral:rRNA from 1 species
GACGAACGCUGGCGGCGUGCUUAACACAUGCAAGUCGAGCGGAAAGGCCCUUCGGGGUACUCGAGCGGCGAACGGGUGAGUAACACGUGAGUAACCUGCCCUGGACUUUGGGAUAACCCUCGGAAACGGGGGCUAAUACCGGAUAUGACUUGAUGUCGCAUGGUGUUGGGUGGAAAGUUUUUCGGUCUGGGAUGGGCUCGCGGCCUAUCAGCUUGUUGGUGGGGUAAUGGCCUACCAAGGCGAGGACGGGUAGCCGGCCUGAGAGGGCGACCGGCCACACUGGGACUGAGACACGGCCCAGACUCCUACGGGAGGCAGCAGUGGGGAAUAUUGCACAAUGGGCGAAGCCUGAUGCAGCGACGCCGCGUGAGGGAUGACGGCCUG